CUGCCAGAUGUGCAGUAGGAUUGACAGAUUAAUUCAAGGUGGAGGUGGGAUUACACCAAGGAUAAACUGUGAGUCAUUUCUUGUUCACAGUGGUGAUGAAGAUGUUGGCAAAUGAGAUCAGACAGGAGUCUCUAUGGACUACUAUGUUUGCAGAUGACGUGAUCUGUAGUGAGAGUACAGAGCAGGUUGAGUCUAGCCUGGAAAUGUGGAGAUACGCUCUGGAGAGCAGGGGAAUGAAAAUCAGUAGAAGCAAGACUGAGUACAUGUGUGUGAACGAGAGGGAGCCCA